rnacentral:rRNA from 1 species
AGCAGCCGCGGUAAUUCCAGCUCCAAUAGCGUAUAUUAAAGUUGUUGCAGUUAAAAAGCUCGUAGUUGAAUUUCAGGCCUGGCUGGACGGUCCGCCCUUCGGGUGAGUACUGUCUGUGGUCGGGUCCUACCUUCUGGCGAAGCGUCAUGGCCUUAACCGGCCGUGGCGGGGAACCAGGACUUUUACUGUGAAAAAUUAGAGUGUUCAAAGCAGGCAAUCGCUUGGAUACAUUAGCAUGGAAUAAUGGAAUAGGACAAUGGUUCUAUUUGUUGGUUUCUAGGACCGUUGUAAUGAUUAAUAGGGAUAGUUGGGGGCAUUAGUAUUCAAUUGUCAGAGGUGAAAUUCUUGGAUUUAUUGAAGACUAACUACUGCGAAAGCAUUUGCCAAGGAUGUUUUCAUUAAUCAAGAACGAAAGUUAGGGGAUCGAAGACGAUCAGAUACCGUCGUAGUCUUAACCAUAAACUAU